AAGAACCAGAAAUAAAAGAGAGAGAGGAGAGGAGAAGGUGAAGGAUGUAAGGAAUCAGGGACAUAAGAACCAGAAAUAAAAGAGAGAUGGAGAGGGGAAGGUGAAGGAUGUAAGGAGUCAGGGACAUAAGAACCAGAAGAGAGACGGGAGAGGGGAAGGUGAAGGAUGUAAGGAGUCAGGGACAUAUGAACCAGAAAUAAAAGAGAGAGAGGAGAGGGGAAGGUGAAGGAUGUAAGGAGUCAGGGACAUAAGAAUCAGAAAUAAAAGAGAGAGAGGAGAGGGGAAGGUGAAGGAUGUAAGGAGUCAGGGACAUAAGAACCAGAAAUAAAAGUGAAAGAGGAGAGGGGAAGGUGAAGGAUGUAAGGAGUCAGCGACAUAAGAAUCAGAAAUAAAAGAGAGAUGGAGAGGGGAAGGUGAAGGAUGUAAGGAGUCAGGGACAUAAGAAC